UAAAGGCACACUUUUAAAUUAUACUCAAUGGU
rnacentral:piRNA from 1 species